rnacentral:rRNA from 1 species
GAUGAACGCUGGCGGCGUGCUUAACACAUGCAAGUCGAACGAAGCACUUUAUUUGAUUUCCUUCGGGACUGAUUAUUUUGUGACUGAGUGGCGGACGGGUGAGUAACGCGUGGGUAACCUGCCUUGUACAGGGGGAUAACAGUUGGAAACGGCUGCUAAUACCGCAUAAGCGCACGGCAUCGCAUGAUGCAGUGUGAAAAACUCCGGUGGUAUAAGAUGGACCCGCGUUGGAUUAGCUAGUUGGUGAGGUAACGGCCCACCAAGGCGACGAUCCAUAGCCGACCUGAGAGGGUGACCGGCCACAGUGGGACUGAGACACGGCCCAAACUCCUACGGGAGGCAGCAGUGGGGAAUAUUGCACAAUGGGCGAAAGCCUGAUGCAGCGACGCCGCGUGAGCGAAGAAGUAUUUCGGUAUGUAAAGCUCUAUCAGCAGGGAAGAUAAUGACGGUACCUGACUAAGAAGCACCGGCUAAAUACG